CUUGAGCUUAGUAAUCUUCUGUCGAUGCAUCUCGACAGUGCCAUGCUCCAUGGCCACAAAGCCUUCAAGGAGCUUGAACUUGGCUCAGGAGGCCUCCUCUUCAGCCACUUUCUUCACCUCCUCAAUGAUUUUUGUCUAGGCCUCAAAGGCCCAAAUUUUCUCCUCGAGUGAGAGCUUCACUCGAUUAAACCUAAUGAGGCCCUUAUAGAGGAUAAUGAUGUGUGGGCCAGUUACAACCAAAAAAGAGACAAAUCAGAAACUUUGAUCAAGCAAUGAAAAGAAACCUAAGCUAAGUUACGGCUUACCCCGAGGAGACAAGCAUAGGAAGAGACCACCACCUCGUCCAAAGGAUGAGCCUUCUUCUCCAUCUAGUUGGAUGGAAGCAGUACAAUUUUCAUUAGCUCUCGAGCGAGCUAAUGGCCGUGGUGACAGGAGUCGCCACUCCAGACUCUCUUUGCCAAAGUGAUGAACCCUUCAAUCCUGGAUGAGAAAGGGCCCAUUUCAUAUCUUGCUGAUGGAGUCAGUGCCACCCGAGAGAGGGGUAGUGACAUCGGAAAGGUCAGCGUGGAAGGCGGUGGAGUUGGAGCUCGGACUGGCUUUGGAGUGGUCGGAGGAGCUGACCUCAGCAACACAGAAGUG
rnacentral:lncRNA from 1 species